rnacentral:lncRNA from 1 species
CUCCCUUGUCCACUUACUUAUAUAUCAAAGUUUCCCUCAUAAUGUCUGCUCUGUGUCACUAUGUACCCUCCCCUGUCCUCCAUUCCCCACACCAAGAGUAUUAUGAGUAUUAAAUGCCACGUGGGCAGGUUCCCCAGGCAAUGAGGGGGUGGGCCUGUCAAAUGCAGGCCAUGCAGAAUGCCGCAGGGCGGGAGACGGGUGAGCCAAGGGAGCCGAGAGUUCCAGAUAACAGAGUGCACAGCAAAUGCCAUGGCCCGCGUCCAGCAACCAGGAGAAACAGAACUGCUGAGCUCAGAAUAGGCCAAGGCCGCGUCUGCUAGCAGGGAGCAAGGGCACAGCCUGCUGUCUGGCCUCUUCUGCCCCAUCCCUCCACCGGGACAUGGCCCAGAUGAGAAAGAGCUGCCAGACGGCAAGUCAAGCGUGGGGCGGGAGAGGACAACGUUUUAUGCAAGAGUGGAUUCUCGGAGCCUCUGCACUCUCCAUCAGGGCUGCUGGCAUGGAAAACACAGAGAAACCAUCACCUAGGACUUGAUUGAACUACUGGACUUCCCAGAAGAGUCCAAUUUAAAGCAAAGAGGUCCAGAGAAAAAAGCAUUCUAGUGACAUUUUUAUAUAUUUAAAAACUGGAAAAAAGAAAAAAUAAU